rnacentral:rRNA from 1 species
GACGAACGCUGGCGGCGUGCUUAACACAUGCAAGUCGAACGGAAAGGCCCCUUUGGGGGUCCUCGAGUGGCGAACGGGUGAGUAACACGUGAGUAACCUGCCCUUGACUUCGGGAUAACUUCAGGAAACUGGGGCUAAUACCGGAUAGGAAUCCUUGCUGCAUGGUGGGGGUUGGAAAGCUUCGGCGGUUUUGGAUGGACUCGCGGCUUAUCAGCUUGUUGGUGGGGUAGUGGCUUACCAAGGCUUUGACGGGUAGCCGGCCUGAGGGGGCGACCGGCCACAUUGGGACUGAGAUACGGCCCAGACUCCUACGGGAGGCAGCAGUGGGGAAUAUUGCACAAUGGGCGGAAGCCUGAUGCAGCAACGCCGCGUGCGGGAUGACGGCCUUCGGGUUGUAAACCGCUUUCAGCAGGGGCGAAGCUUGUGGUGACGGUACCUGCAGAAGAAGCACCGGCUAACUACGUG